rnacentral:sRNA from 1 species
AUUCAAACCCGAUUGAAGCGGAAAUACUUUUUGUUGCACUUACUUCAGACUUCGUAAGUUUUAAAACUUACGAAGUCUUUUUUUCGCAACUACGUUCACAAAAAGAUUACAGCGAAAAGCGGGGCUGCAG